rnacentral:rRNA from 1 species
CGAGCGUUGUCCGGAAUUAUUGGGCGUAAAGAGCUCGUAGGCGGUGUGUCGCGUCGGCCGUGAAAACCUGCAGCUUAACUGUGGGCUUGCGGUCGAUACGGGCAUCACUGGAGUUCGGCAGGGGAGACUGGAAUUCCUGGUGUAGCGGUGAAAUGCGCAGAUAUCAGGAGGAACACCGGUGGCGAAGGCGGGUCUCUGGGCCGAUACUGACGCUGAGGAGCGAAAGCGUGGGGAGCGAACAGG